UACGUAGGGGGCAAGCGUUAUCCGGAUUUACUGGGUGUAAAGGGAGCGUAGACGGUGAGACAAGUCUGAAGUGAAAGCCCGGGGCUCAACCCCGGGACUGCUUUGGAAACUGUGUGACUGGAGUGCAGGAGAGGUAAGCGGAAUUCCUGGUGUAGCGGUGAAAUGCGUAGAUAUCAGGAGGAACACCAGUGGCGAAGGCGGCUUACUGGACGAUGACUGACGCUGAGGCUCGAAAGCGUGGGGAGCAAACAGG
rnacentral:rRNA from 1 species